rnacentral:tRNA from 1 species
GUAGGCGUAGCUCAAUUAGGUAAGAGCAUCAGAUUGUGAUUCUGAAGGUUGCUGGUUCAAAUCCAGUCGUCUACC